GGGGAUGUAGCUCAGUUGGUAGAGUUCUUGCCUCACAUGCAUAAGGCCCUGGGUUCAAUCUCUAGCACCACAA
rnacentral:tRNA from 1 species